AUUGAACGCUAGCGGGAUGCCUUACAAAUGCACGUAGAACGGAGUGGCGAACGGGUGAGUAAUGUAUCGGAACGUGCCCAGUAGCGGGGGAUAACUACGCGAAAGCGUAGCUAAUACCGCAUACUAUUGGAGCAGCCGAUAUCGGAUUAGCUAGUUGGUGGGGGAACGGCUACCAAAGGCGACGAUACGUAGCUGGUUUGAGAGGACGACCAGCCACACUGGGACGGUGAAACGGCCCUGAAUCCGACGUGAGGCAGCAGUGGGGAAUUUUGGACAAUGGGGGAAACCCUGAUCCAGCCAUCCCGCGUGUGCGAUGAAGGCCUUCGGGUUGUAAAGCACUUUUGGCAGGAAAGCGGUACCUGCAGAAUAAGCACCGGCUAACUACGUGCCAGCAGCCGCGGUAAUAC
rnacentral:rRNA from 1 species